UGAGUAAAACCAUAAAUAAAUCAAAACUUUCAACAACGGAUCUCUUGGUUCUGGCAUCGAUGAAGAACGCAGCAAAAUGCGAUAAGUAAUGUGAAUUGCAGAAUUCAGUGAAUCAUCGAAUCUUUGAACGCACAUUGCGCCCGCCAGUAUUCUGGCGGGCAUGCCUGUUCGAGCGUCAUUUCAACCCUCAAGCACAGCUUGGUGUUGGGACUCGCGUUAAUUCGCGUUCCUCAAAUUGAUUGGCGGUCACGUCGAGCUUCCAUAGCGUAGUAGUAAAACCCUCGUUACUGGUAAUCGUCGCGGCCACGCCGUUAAACCCC
rnacentral:rRNA from 1 species